rnacentral:rRNA from 1 species
GACGAACGCUGGCGGCGUGCUUAACACAUGCAAGUCGAACGGAAAGGCCCUGCUUUUGUGGGGUGCUCGAGUGGCGAACGGGUGAGUAACACGUGAGUAACCUGCCCUUGACUUUGGGAUAACUUCGGGAAACUGGGGCUAAUACCGGAUAGGAGCUCCUGCUGCAUGGUGGGGGUUGGAAAGUUUCGGCGGUUGGGGAUGGACUCGCGGCUUAUCAGCUUGUUGGUGGGGUAGUGGCUUACCAAGGCUUUGACGGGUAGCCGGCCUGAGAGGGUGACCGGCCACAUUGGGACUGAGAUACGGCCCAGACUCCUACGGGAGGCAGCAGUGGGGAAUAUUGUACAAUGGGCGGAAGCCUGAUGCAGCAACGCCGCGUGCGGGAUGACGGCCUUCGGGUUGUAAACCGCUUUCGCCUGUGACGAAGCGUGAGUGACGGUAAUGGGUAAAGAAGCACCGGCUAACUACGUG